rnacentral:misc_RNA from 1 species
AACUUGCUGCAACGGAUCACUUGGCUCUCGCGUCGAUGAAGAACGCAGCGAAAUGCGAUAAGUAAUGUGAAUUGCAGAAUUCAGUGAAUCAUCGAAUCUUUGAACGCACCUUGCGCCCGGCAGUAAUCUGCCGGGCAUGCCUGUCCGAGCGUCAUUUCUGCCCUCGAGCGCGGUCCGCCCUAGCCGGCGGGCCGCCGCCUCGGUGUUGGGGCGCCACGGGGGAGCCCUAGCGCUCCCCCGCGGGCCCCGAAAUGAAGUGGCGGCCCCGCCGCGGCGCCCCCUGCGUAGUACUUACAGCUCGCAUCGGGUCCCGGCGGAGGCCUGCCGUCAACCCCUCAACUCAAGAUGGUUUGACCUCGGAUCAGGUAGGGUUACCCGCUGAACUUAAGCAUAUCAAUAAGCGGAGGCU